GGAAGGGGAGAAUAUUUCUUUUUUAAAAAUACUCAAUACAGGUUUUCAAAACAGCAAGGCAUAAAUAGUGAUGGAAAUAGAUAUCAAGGGUUUAUGUUAGUAGGAUUAAAGAAUUUAGACUGCAGGAAUAGUUAGUGAUCUUUUUUUAUAAUUCAGACGUGGAGUAUAGCAGAUAUCAUUUCUUUGUCAAAUGGAGCUGUAUGUCACAUAGAUUUCUUUUACCAGUGGAGCAAACAUCUCUUCUGUCACAAGCAAAAUAAAAAUAGAAAAUGCUUUGCACACUGUGAAGAAGAACCAUAGCUCAGUGGUAGAACAUGUGUUUAAAGGCAUGUUUUUUUUGUAUUCAGGCAGUUUGGAAGAAAAGUGCCUGGAGCCCUGGAAAGCCAGUCCUGAACUAGAUGCACUAAUGACUAAUGGAAGAAGGUGGCUUCCUGUUUUUCUUUUGCACACAGUUUUCUUCAUAAGUAUAAUAUAUCCUUUUUUUAAAAAAAGAGAGAUAGACUUAAUAAUGUAGGUUAUGCUGUAUCUCUUUAAUAUUUAUAGGCGCCUGAUCUGCUUUCGUUAGUUAUAGAUCUGCACUCUUCAGUUCAGAUGUAGAAAGCAAAUUCAGCCAGAGAUAAAGAGUAUAAUGAUAUGACCAGUUACUCCCAUUGAUCAGUGGAUUGCCAAGUGCUUUGCGAUGCUAAAGCAAAUGUCAAUACUAUACAGCAAAACAUAAGUACAAUUUGAAUAAUCCUGCAAAGUAACUCUCUGCAGAAGACAAUUGUCCAAUAGUAAGUUCCUUAGCGCUUGAAAAUCAUGAUCUGCCUAAUCUGUUGAAGGUCUUCCAUCAUACAGGAAAAAGCAACAACAUUUGCACAAGACUGACUGGCUUCACAUCAAAAUAAUAUCCAGCUUCUGGUGAAGUAAAUUUAAACUUCUGAUUGGACCCAAAUACUUCCACACUAGAGCUGAAGCAUUCUGGAAGCCACCUUCAUCUAAAUAUUCUGUAUGAUUGGUAUGUUCAUGUUUCCCCCCAAUCCUUGUGUCAGAUUCUGUGUCUUUCCAUGUUGGCCUCAGGUCACAGGAUAUUAAAUGGAACAGUCUACAGGCAGCCCAAAGAAAAAGUAAUUGUCGUUCUCUUUCUAUUUCAUCACUGCUUCUGUAAUUGAAAGUUAUCUGCUUAUAAUUGCAUCUUUAGUGAGCAGUAAUUAAAAUUCUUAUCAUUAGCGUUUUCUUUUAAUUAGUUUUUUUCCUCUGAUAAAAAAAUGUAUUUUGCACAACGCAUGUCUAACUUCAUAAUAAUAGGCAAAACUGGAAAGGUAAAGCAGAAAUGUUGUUCAAUGCAAAAUAAGGCUUUGUUACAGUAACCUGGUGACAGAGUAAUAAAAAAGAGAUACAACUGGUUAGACACAGUAGCACAUGAGCUAGAAACAGAAGCACACAAUAACUACCUUAAUUUAAUUUAUUGGCUAACAUCCAAUCUUGUGCAAGUGGAUUUGCACUCAUGCAACAGGACUUGUUCUUUGUUCCCUCCCUCAUGACUGUUCCUUGUGCCAACAAAUAUUUCCUGGAGGGUCCCAGAGGGGCAGGUUUUGGAGGUAUGUGUGGGGUGCUGGGAGGGGGCUACAGAUGAAGGGAGAACUAUUUCUAGCAAUAGUGUCAAUUUUGUUGGUGGACUGAUGCAGUUGGACUUCACCCAUUCUAUUUAUGCUGCUUUUCUGUUGAGACAAAGUGUCUUAAAAUAAAAUAAAACACUUAUAAAACCAGUUUCUUAUAUGGAUGAGACAGGGAUUGCACUGUAUUUGACAAGGCCUCUAUGGUCAGUCUUAAAAGCAGAUUCAUAUGAGAGCUUACAGUUUCUGAGUAUCCCUACCCUUUCAAAGAUCAAUAUCAACACUUUAAAUCAAGCAUAGAAACAAUUGCAUAUGAUCACAGUUAUAUGGCCUCAAAACCAGAUAGCCUGCCUCCUCUGCACUGAUGGGUAAAUAGAUAGAUUAUAGUUGCAGGCCAUAUAGUCCUCUACACUAGGAAUUCCAGAUGUUGAGGCUUAUGUGUGUCAUUUAUUCCCACUAUAUUCUGAUUUUGAGCCCUACCCUGACUAAAGCAGCCUCUCCUCCUUCAAUAUUCUGGCCUAGCAUGUUGUUUCAAGUUGUAUAUCCUGGCCAUCUGGUCAACAUUUACCAAUUAAGCUUCAACAGCAUGGAAAUCAAGCCUGGCCCAAAGCAGAGGCAGCUGAGGCCUCAUACCCAGAAGGGCCAACUUGCUCUGCUAAAUGCCUGUUGUGAUUCUGGCCUCUGUUCUAUGCCUGGCUUUCUCUCUAAUUGUGUCAAAGGAAGGCUAAAAUAUGACUAUAGACAAAGCAGGUUGUAAAGACAGCUUGAAUAGCAUGAUGUAGGGAACAUUGUCUUAGAUCUGAUUUCAAAACAUAAUGUCCAUUCCAUAUCUACUAAGUAUCUUGUGAGUAUGUUUAAGAAGUGGUACUUUUCAAUUAAAAUGGAAAGAGGGAAUAGGCAAAUAGCAAACAUGAGCAUAUCAACUUUUUUUUUUAAUGUAAGAAUUAUGCCUGUCAGUCUCCAUUGCUUUUAUUUGGCAACAACAACAAACAAACUCCACCUCAGUACAGGGGAGAGAAUUUUCAUUCAUCAGCUUUUGAGGAAAACAGAAAUGGAAGCUGAAGAUAGGAGACAUCUCUGUGAAUGAUGUGUAGAAGAGGAUUAAGUUCUGGAAUGGUGUCUGCGGUGUAUUGAGGACUUGGAAUAUUCUUUGGAGUGGGGAAUGGGCAUUUAUAAAAUAGGUGUUAGUUUGUGGGAAAAGUGAGCUAUUGCUAUGUUGCUGUUGCCAUUUUAAGGAUUGCAAACAUCCUUAUAUUUUUGGUGAUUUUGCUCAAGCUCAGCAGUGAAUAGAAGCACUGCUGAAAUGCUGAGCUCUCUGCAGAAACAUCCAUUAAUUUAAGAAUUUGUCAUGACUGAUUUAUAAACUUCUGUUCCCUGAAACAGUUAUCUAAUAUUAUCUUGAAAACUCCUUUGUAAAAUGGAAGUCAUGACCAGAAAAAAUGUGUCUUAAAUCAUUUGCUUUUCUGUUUGCUUUCAGUGAAACAAAGAAGGCAACAUUCUAUUUUCCAAUUUAUUAUGUGAGGAGACGUGGGGAAUGCUUUAUAUCCAUCAAAUUGUUCUUUUCUAUUUUCCACAGAGCUGGAAAUCCUUCUCUGCUACUGCCACUUCCCAUCCUGUUUAUCAUCACUAAAAUAUCAACCUUUUUUUCCCUUUUCUUCCCCUCCCCCAUACUGAAAUUUUGCAUAACAAAUGAGCAUAAGGAGGAGGAGGAGGUUAUAAGGGAGAUGCUAAAGUGAUAUGAAAUUUAAAACGUACCAAAUGCAAACAGGUUUUCUCAACAAAUACAGUGUUGUUGUUUAAAAAAGAAAUAACCAGAUUAAAACUGCAACUUUUAAAGUAAGAGAUUUAUUAGUAUGAACAGAGCUAUCAAAUUGCAACAAAAGGGCAAAACAGCAAUCAGAUUAUUUGAAAUGUGCAUUUGAAUCAAUGAGGUUUACAGGGAUUACUUAGGUUAUGUGAAAAUCCUGGAAGAAUGUGGUGACAUUUCUGUCAGUAUGUACUUGAUCAAUGCCAGGGUUGGCCAGCAUGGUGCUCCCAAAUGUUUGUUUGUUUAUUAUUUAUUCUGCAUUUUUUAUACCAGCGUUUUCUCCAAGGUAGGAAUACAGGGUAGCUCACCCCAAAGAGAAUUCAGUAUAGAAGAGAAUAUAAAAAUAUACAGUAGAAACAGUCUAAAAUCAAAUACACUUUAAACAUAAAUCAAAACCAAUCAGCAUCAUCUGCUCCGGAAUGACUUAAGACAUGAAGGCCUGUACAUAUGAAUGAUUUUAACAUAAAUCUUAUGUGGAAUACAGCCAAAUAUUACUCAGGAGAGAGUUCUGUAAAUGGGGUGCUGCUACCAAGAACAUCCUAUCUUGUGUUACUAUCUUGCCAGGGUUGAUGAGAUCACAAGUAGGGACUCUAGUGUUGCCUGCAGGGCUCAAAGUCAGGAGGUAUUGGGGAAGGCACUCUCUCAACAUGCUUGUCACAUAUCGAUCUAUAUGAUAUUUGAUUCCUAUGAUUUGGUGUUUUAGAAAUUCUAGUGAUCUGCAGUAACGUGGACCCCACUAAAUUUUGCUGAUGAUGGUAAAUUGUUAAAGGUUGUUAAAACAAAAAGAGAUUGCAGAAAGCUCCAAAAGGACCUUUCUAAAAUGAGUGAGUGGGCAGUAAAAUGGCAAAUGCAAUUCAAUGUAAACAAGUGUAAAGUGAUGCAUUUUGGAGCAAAGAAUCUUAAUUUCACACACAUGCUCCUGGGGUCUGAACUGGAGGUGGCAGAGCUGGAGCGAGACUUGGCAUCCUAGUAGAUAGUUCAAUAAAGAUAUCUACCCAGUGAGUGGCAGCCAUAAAAAAGGCGAAUUCCAGCCUGUUGUGAAGGAACAAAAACUUGUUAGUCAUUUGUGCUCUGUUUCGGCUGUAAAAUGUUUUAGAGACUUUGCUGACCAGGAGGGACAAAUGUUUAGUUCAGAAAGUUGAACUUUAAGGGGAAA
rnacentral:lncRNA from 1 species